GAUAAUGACUUGUCUAUCUAUGUGUCUUGACCAAAUUACGUGCCAGCAGUCGCGGUAAUACGUAAAAGACUAGUGUUAUUCAUCUUGAAUAGGUUUAAAGGGUACCUAGACGGCAAAUAAAGCUUAAAAAAAGUACUAAUUAGCUAGAGUUUAAUAUAAGGAGGCAUUAAAGUACUGAGAACGUAGAGAGAUGAAAUUCUGUGAUACUAUAUAUGGCACUGGUAAAGGCGAAAGCAUCCUAUUAUGUAAUAACUGACGUUGAGGGACGAAGGCUGUGUGUAGCAAAAAGGAUUAGAUACCCAAGUAGUCUCAGCAGAAAAUGAUGAAUGUCAUAGUAUAGAUAAGAUUUGUACUAUAAAUGAAAGUGUAAGCAUUCCACCUUAAGAGUAAUUUGGCAACAUUGGAACUGAAAUCAUUAGACCGUUUCUGAAACAAGUAGUGAAGUAUGUUGUUUAAUUUGAUGAUCCGCAAAGAACCUCACCACAAUUUGAAUAUAAAAAUUAUUUAUACAAGCGCUGCACGGUUGUCUUCAGUUAAUGUCGUGAGAUUUUGGUUAG
rnacentral:rRNA from 1 species